rnacentral:rRNA from 1 species
GAAACCUGCCAAGGAGCAGAAUGACCCGCGAACCGGUUUUAACUACCACAGGGGGCGCAGGGCUCGGCGUCGCUGCGCCCCAUCCCGGGGCUGGNCAAGCCUCGCAGUAGCGAGGCGCGCCCUUCCCGGGAGCAACUAAUCCCGGCGCGGGUUGCGCCAAGGACCCUGAACAAUAGCGCGUCCCGCGGCAUCCGGUCCUCCGGUGCGCGCGGCGACGACGCGUCGUUUGUAGCGAGCUAACAGAACGACUCUCGGCAACGGAUAUCUCGGCUCUCGCAUCGAUGAAGAACGUAGCGAAAUGCGAUACUUGGUGUGAAUUGCAGAAUCCCGUGAACCAUCGAGUCUUUGAACGCAAGUUGCGCCCGAGGCCUACCGGCCAAGGGCACGCCUGUCUGGGCGUCACGCAUCGCGUCGCCCCANCCCCCCGCGGGGGGGCGAGGGGCGGAGAAUGGCCCCCCGUGCGUCACGGCGCGCGGCCGGCCUAAACGCAGGCCCCUUGGGCGCGAGAGGGCGCGACGACUGGUGGUGUGCGCGCGGCCCCGUGCCGCCGAGCAUCGCGUCGCGUCUUGCGCGGUCAGCGGGCGAUGGAAGGAGCCCUUGCGACCCCAGAUCAGGCGGGACCACCCGCUGAGUUUAAGCAUAUCAAUAAGCGGAGGAAAAGAA